GACGAACGCUGGCGGCGUGCUUAACACAUGCAAGUCGAACGGAAAGGCCCUGCUUGCAGGGUACUCGCGUGGCGAACGGGUGAGUAACACGUGGGUGAUCUGCCCUGCACUUCGGGAUAAGCUUGGGCAACUGGGUCUAGUACCGGAUAGGAACCAUCUUUAGUGUGGUGGUUGGAAAGUUUUUUCGGUGUAGGAUGAGCUCGCGGCCUAUCAGCUUGUUGGUGGGGUAAUGGCCUACCAAGGCGGCGACGGGUAGCCGGCCUGAGAGGGUGUACGGCCACAUUGGGACUGAGAUACGGCCCAGACUCCGACGGGAGGCAGCAGUGGGGAAUAUUGCACAAUGGGCGCAAGCCUGAUGCAGCGACGCCGCGUGGCGGAUGAAGGUCUUAGGGUGGUAAACUCCUUGCGCUAGGGACGAAGCUUUUUGUGACGGUACCUAGAUAAGAAGCACCGGCUAACUACGUG
rnacentral:rRNA from 1 species